AGCGGGGCGAAGCGCGGACUCUUUACGGGAAGUCGGAAGGAGCGCGGCGGUGCUGAGGCGAGGUGAAGGGGCGGAGGCGGGGGAGCGGCGGACACGUGAGGCGGCGGCCGCCGCGGACGGCGCCGGGCCCUGCGCUGUGCGGGGCCGCUCCCGCCCCGCUCCCAGCGCCGCCCGCGGGAGGGCCCUCCGGACGGGAACGGCUCCGCCCGCGCGGUGCGGCCUCGGGGUGGGGAGUGAGGGGGGAGAGAGCGAGCGGGGCCUCGCGCAGCGCAGGGCCGCGAACGAGGCGCAGAAAUGGCACAUGCGGGAGUUGAACUGCAGAAAUCCAAAGCGCUGAAACCAGGAAUGCAGACGUUGCAAUCGAGAAAUUUGGAAAACGUGAAUCUGAAAUGCGGUAAUCAUCGGAGCGCAGCAGGGACCCGGCUUUAGGCAUCUCGCUGGUGCCCGCUCUGUUCAAGUGGUGCUUUCACCACCGAGCACCCAUCUAUCACUGUUAAAAGACCGUGUACACGCAGGAUUAGUAAGAGCAGCUGUAACUUGAAAACCAAGAGCGAAAUUGAUUUAUAGCCAUGGUUACUCAAAAUGCUCUGACUUUAAUCUAUUCGUAGAGAUGCUCUGGAAGUCCCGCAGGACUCGGAUGCCGUGAGAAGGAGCAAUCCUGCUGGGCGGGCAGUGUUCGUACACCUUGCUUGCACAGCAACAGUUCUCCCAUGCGGCUAAAAGCUGUGGGUGGCAGCACAGUGGCCCAGAAAACCCUGUGGUUAACACCUUAUGAACAAAAUGACAGAUACCAGCACAAACAUUACUCCAUUGAAAAUAUUUGUCCAAAACUGAGCCGGCAGCUUUAAGGAACUUUGGUGAAUUUGCAAAACGUUUUGCUAUUGCCCAGCCACAGAACUGGGAGAGGACACUGAGGAGUUCUGCAGGAGACAGCAGUGUGUGCAGAGGUUGAUCCCAGUGGAUCUCAAACAGAGGGCCCCCAAUUGCCACCACAGCAGCAGAGACGCAGCAGGUGGGGAAGAUGAAGGUCCCAAAUGCAACUUGAAAUGAAUCCGAGUGAGCUGCAGGUAGCAGGGCUCCGCAUUCUGCACUGUGUUUCAUCCGCUUUUUUCACUUGAUAAAACAAGUUUCCCAGAAAGCACAAGGAAGUCUGAUAGUAGGCUCCAACAAAUCCAGGUCCCUUAAGGUUGUUUUGGUUUUGUUUGUUUUUUUUUAAUGGAAAGGAAGUCAUUACAGUGCUUUUUCAGCUAAGCGCGUUAUAGUGUGCAGCAAUUAGUCCCUGUGUGUGUGAUGAAGGUUAAGAACCGCUGCAGGGUCCUGUGGGCACACAGAGUCUCCAGUAUCAGAGGAUGUCACAGGUACAAGCAAGUUCUGUGGUCAGAGAUGGUUUCUAAGACAUGAUAUGAACACACUAACUUAUAUUUUGGGGUAACAUUAUGUCCUCUGAGAGUGAUUGCAUGAAUAAGACUCUCGUGUUGGUGUCUGCAGCAAUGACUCAAGCGCAGUUGCUGUUUGACUUGUUCUCUCCUUCAAUGUAUUCUUUGUUUUGCUAAGCUCUGGCUUCCAUUGUGCCCUCCCAUUUUUGCUUGUCGAGCAUCUUCACUCAAACACUCAGAAGCAAGCACAGCAGUGACCAGGUUGAAGGGGCUCCGUUUCACCCACCAAGAGCUGUGUCAGGUGCUGGAUCCUUCGGAGGCUGCCAGUGCCAUGCCAGUGCUGGUGCCACUCUGCAGCUUUCUGCUGUGAGCCCGCCUGCAGUGCACCACGAUCACACUGCUGUCCCGGCACACGGCGUCCUGUCCUGUGGUGUUGGCUUCUCCCUGCUCACAGCCCUUUGAUAGCCAGCAAUUCCCACUACUCUGUUUUUAUUAUUUUAUGAUUUGUCUCUAUUGAUUUUUUCCCCCCCCUUUUCUUUUUCCGAUGCAGUGCUUUAGCUGUAGAAAAAAUCAAGAUUCGGGAUUACACGCUCCACAGCCAAGAAACAAAAGCAACUAUUUCUAGUGGGGAGUCACGUCCUAUUUUGCCCUUUCCGUUCCCAUUCCAGGUUAGAGCUGGUCUUUUUCAAGACCGCUAUUUUCCUUCAGUUUUGUGCCUACAUGUGCAAGCUGUGUUUGCACAUGAAGAUUAACGAGCCUGAUAACAUCACUGCUUCCCCGGAAGUGCUGCAUGAUGCAAUGUUUCCUUGACAGAACCGCUCCAAGGCACCGCGCACUUCCCGAGGUUCAGCGCGGUGAAACAUGCGUGCCUACGGAGGGACAGCCAGCACGAGUGCCUGAUGUUUAUUGUAUGCAAAAUCAGCUGCUAGAGCAGCACAGGACUGAGUAUUUCUACACGUUUUCUUUUCCCUGAAGACUUCUUCUAUUUAUCCAUUACCACAAAACCUGUUCUUAGAGGCAAAAGCUUUGCCAACAACACUUAUAGGCAUGGGAAUCUCCGAGCGCUUGGAAAACAAAUCAGGUGCUCCAGCAAAUGAGGAGUGCUUCCCAGAGAGAUACGGUAUCAGCUAGUCAGCAAAGCUGCAAUCAGUUGUAAUUGAUGAAUGCACCACUGGCCAGACCAGAAUUAGGUACAUGCACAUGAAUGAGCAAAGCCCGAGCUCCAGCCACGCAGGAGAGGCUGCCACUGCUGGUUCUGCUGUGCAGUGGCUUUGCAUCGCUUGUGGUCCCUCAAAAUCACAGCUUGGCUGCAAGGAGACACCAGCUCCCAGCAAACAUAUUUUUUGAUCCACAAGUGCACUUUUAUACCGACUUGUUCCCAAUUUCUAUCACCCACCAGCACCCUCCUCCAGCUCCAUUCAGGCUAUGGAAGACAGAUGCGCUGCUGAGCCACGCAUGCAACUAAUGGGAGAUGAAGGAAAGUGCAAACAUCCACAGGGCUUGGGGCUGAGGUACAGAAUGGUUGGAGAGGGUCUCUGGGUCACCAAGUUUGAUCCCAACCUAUUCCCACGGAACCAUGUCAUCAGUGCCACAUCUCCAUGUUUCUUGAACACCUGCAGGGUCAGUGACUCCAUCUCUUCCCCGGGCAGCCUGACCCAAUGCUUG